AUGGAUAAUGAUCUGGGAUAUAGACAAUGGAAUAUUACUCAGCCAUAGAAAAGAAUGAAAUCUUGCCAUUUCCAGUAACAUGGAGGGAUCUAGAGGAUAUGCUAAGCUAAAUAAGUCAGUCAGAGAAAGAC